UACAGAGGUCUCAAGCGUUGUUCGGAAUCACUGGGCGUAAAGCGCAUGUAGGUGGCUUUUCAAGUCAACUGUGAAAGCCCAGGGCCUAACCCUGGAAGUGCAGUUGAUACUGCUAAGCUUGAGUACGAGAGAGGAUAGUGGAAUUUCUGGUGUAGUGGUGAAAUACGUAGAUAUCAGAAGGAACAUCGGUGGCGAAGGCGGCUAUCUGGCUCGAUACUGACACUGAGAUGCGAAAGCGUGGGGAGCAAACAGG
rnacentral:rRNA from 1 species